rnacentral:rRNA from 1 species
GAUGAACGCUGGCGGCGUGCCUAAUACAUGCAGGUCGAGCGAACGGACGAGAAGCUUGCUUCUCUGAUGUUAGCGGCGGACGGGUGAGUAACACGUGGAUAACCUACCUAUAAGACUGGGAUAACUUCGGGAAACCGGAGCUAAUACCGGAUAAUAUUUUGAACCGCAUGGUUCAAAAGUGAAAGACGGUCUUGCUGUCACCUAUAGAUGGAUCCGCGCUGCAUUAGCUAGUUGGUAAGGUAACGGCUUACCAAGGCAACGAUGCAUAGCCGACCUGAGAGGGUGAUCGGCCACACUGGAACUGAGACACGGUCCAGACUCCUACGGGAGGCAGCAGUAGGGAAUCUUCCGCAAUGGGCGAAAGCCUGACGGAGCAACGCCGCGUGAGUGAUGAAGGUCUUCGGAUCGUAAAACUCUGUUAUUAGGGAAGAACAUAUGUGUAAGUAACUGUGCACAUCUUGACGGUACCUAAUCAGAAAGCCACGGCUAACUACGUG